UAGGGAAUCUUCGGCAAUGGACGAAAGUCUGACCGAGCAACGCCGCGUGAGUGAAGAAGGUUUUCGGAUCGUAAAACUCUGUUGUUAGAGAAGAACAAGGACGUUAGUAACUGAACGUCCCCUGACGGUAUCUAACCAGAAAGCCACGGCUAACUACGUGCCAGCAGCCGCGGUAAUACGUAGGUGGCAAGCGUUGUCCGGAUUUAUUGGGCGUAAAGCGAGCGCAGGCGGUUUCUUAAGUCUGAUGUGAAAGCCCCCGGCUCAACCGGGGAGGGUCAUUGGAAACUGGGAGACUUGAGUGCAGAAGAGGGGAGUGGAAUUCCAUGUGUAGCGGUGAAAUGCGUAGAUAGAUGGAGGAACACCAGUGGCGAAGGCGGCUCGCUGGUCUGUAACUGACGCUGAGGCUCGAAAGCGUGGGGAGCAAACAGG
rnacentral:rRNA from 1 species